rnacentral:lncRNA from 1 species
CACACACACACACACACACACACCUCUUGACUUUUGUGUGACCUCUGCGGUCAUGUGACCAGGCCAGGGAUCGAUGGCGGACACCUUGCUGUAUCAGCUUCAUCUAAAGGCGCUUGUCUGAUCGCCUUGGCAAUGGGUUGUCUGGAGGACGUAGUGGAGUGGAGAUAAAGAUUGCUUUCUUCUCUAUAUCCCUCUCUCUUCUCCUCUUUCUUCACUAUAUCCCUCUCUCUUCUCCUUCACUUUAUCCCUCUCUCCUCUUUCUUGUCUUUAUCCCUCUCUCCUCUCCUUCACUAUAUCUCUCUUCUCCUCUUUCUUCACUAUAUCCCUCUCUUCUCCUUCACUCUAUCCCUCUCUCCUCUCCUUCACUAUAUCCCUCUCUCCUCUCCUCUCCUUCACUAUAUCCCUCUCUCUUCUCCUUCACUAUAUCCCUCUCUCCUCUCCUCUUUCUUCACUAUAUCCCUCUCUCUUCUCCUUCACUAUAUCCCUCUCUCCUCUCCUUCACUAUAUCCCUCUCUCUUCUCCUUCACUAUAUCCCUCUCUCCUCUCCUUCACUAUAUCCCUCUCUCUUCUCCUUCUCUCUAUCCCUCUCUCCUCUUUCUUCACUAUAUCCCUCUCUCCUCUCCUCUUUCUUCACUAUAUCCCUCUCUCCUCUCCUUCACUAUAUCCCUCUCUUCUCCUUCACUAUAUCCCUCUCUCCUCUCCUCUUUCUUCACUAUAUCCCUCUCUCUUCUCCUCUUUCUUCACUAUAUCCCUCUCUCCUCUCCUCUUUCUUCACUAUAUCCCUCUCUCUUCUCCUUCACUAUAUCCCUCUCUCCUCUUUCUUCACUAUAUCUCUCUCUCUUCUCCUUCACUAUAUCCCUCUCUCUUCUCCUUUACUAAAUCCCUCUCUCCUCUCCUCUUUCUUCACUAUAUCCCUCUCUCUUCUCCUCUUUCUUCACUAUAUCCCUCUCUCCUCUCCUCUUUCUUCACUAUAUCCCUCUCUCCUCUCCUUCACUAUAUCCCUCUCCUCUCCUUCACUAUAUCCCUCUCUUCUCCUUCACUAUAUCCCUCUCUCUUCUCCUUUACUAAAUCCCUCUCUCCUCUCCUCUUUCUUCACUAUAUCCCUCUCUCUUCUCCUCUUUCUUCACUAUAUCUCUCUCUCUUCUCCUUCACUAUAUCCCUCUCUCUUCUCCUUUACUAAAUCCCUCUCUCCUCUCCUCUUUCUUCACUAUAUCCCUCUCUCUUCUCCUUCACUAUAUCCCUCUCUCCUCUCCUUCACUAUAUCUCUCUCUCUUCUUUCUUCACUAUAUCCCUCUCUCCUCUCCUUCACUAUAUCCCUCUCUCCUCUCCUCUCUUCUCCUUCACUAUAUCCCUCUUUCCUCUCCUUCACUAUAUCCCUCUCUCCUCUCUUCUCCUUCUUCACUAUAUCCCUCUCUCCUCUCCUUCACUAUAUCCCUCUCUCCUCCUUCACUAUAUCCCUCUCUCUUCUCCUCUUUCUUCACUAUAUCCCUCUCUCCUCUCCUUCACUAUAUCCCUCUCUCCUCUCUUCUCCUUCUUCACUAUAUCCCUCUCUCCUCUCCUUCACUAUAUCCCUCUCUCUUCUCCUUCACUAUAUCCCUCUCUCCUCUCUUUCACUAUAUCCCUCUCUCUUCUCCUUCACUAUAUCCCUCUCUCCUCUCCUUCACUAUAUCCGUCUCUCUUCUCCUUCACUAUAUCCCUCUCUCCUCUCCUUCACAGAAAGGGGGAACAAAGGAUGAGAUCUGAGGCCCUUUUUCCUGCUCUCUUCCCUCUCUACUCUUGAGCAUCAAGACUCUUCAAACCACCUGGGACAGAGGAAGAGGAGGAGGAGGAGGAAGAGGAGGAGGAGGAGGAUGAGUAAGAGGAGGAGGAAGAGGAGGUAACCAUAGAUAGAGACGGGGAGGUGAGAGAGAGAAGG